UGACUGUAGGUUGUAGUAUCAUGUUGUGAUAUAAUGGUAAUUUGUUAAAAACCAAUAAUUAACACAAAUUGGAUGUAAUGUUGGAUGGCAUACAUCAUCUUCACUAUAUCUAACUUCUGCAAACUUUGUUAGGGACUGUAUGAUCAAAUCUUCAUGGCUUAUUGUCACCUCUUUGGGUUUUUUUUCCAAUAAUUCCUGAGAUACGGUAUAUUGUGGCAGUUCCCUCACCCAAGAGCAAUUAAACUCUAAAGGCUUCACCAUGUGCUUCUUUAGUAUCCCUGUAGUCAUCUUUCUUGCAGGGUAUGUAUUCAUGGGGAAACAAAGGCAAUCCGUCAUGACUAGCACGCUGUAAUUCGUCUCUUGAAUCAUCAACAAAGAAUAAAGUGGAUGAAACGCUAGUUGAUUCACCGUUAAAAGUAACAUGUUUCAUGGUUUGAAUAUUUGUGACAGAAACACCAGGUGGAGGAUAUUGUAAAUAACCAAUAGAUAUUGCCUCAGCAGUUAAAAGAUAUGGUGCAACAUGAGGGU
rnacentral:lncRNA from 1 species